CAUUAUGAAGCUAAUCUAGCAUUAACCUUUUAAGUUAAAGACUGGGAGUUCAAACCUCCCCAUAAUGA
rnacentral:tRNA from 1 species